AUACGGAGGGUGCAAGCGUUACUCGGAAUCACUGGGCGUAAAGCGCGCGCAGGCGGGCUGAUAAGUUGGAUGUGAAAGCCUACGGCUCAACCGUAGAACUGCAUCCAAAACUGUCAGUCUAGAGUGUGGGAGAGGAAGAUGGAAUUAGUUGUGUAGGGGUAAAAUCCGUAGAGAUAACUAGGAAUACCAAAAGCGAAGGCAAUCUUCUGGAACAGUACUGACGCUGAGGCGCGAAGGCGUGGGGAGCAAACAGGAUUAGAAACCCCAGUAGUCC
rnacentral:rRNA from 1 species